rnacentral:rRNA from 1 species
UACGUAGGUGGCAAGCGUUGUCCGGAUUUACUGGGCGUAAAGAGCGCGCAGGCGGUCAGAUAAGUCGAAUGUGAAAGCCCCCGGCUCAACUGGGGAGGGUCAUUCGAUACUGUUCGACUCGAAGGCAGGAGAGGGAAGUGGAAUUCCCGGUGUAGUGGUGAAAUGCGUAGAUAUCGGGAGGAACACCAGUGGCGAAGGCGACUUCCUGGCCUGUUCUUGACGCUGAGGCGCGAAAGCUAGGGGAGCAAAGCGGG